rnacentral:rRNA from 1 species
UACGUAGGGCGCAAGCGUUGUCCGGAAUUAUUGGGCGUAAAGAGCUCGUAGGCGGUCUGUCGCGUCUGGUGUGAAAUCCUGGGGCUUAACCCUGGGCGUGCAUCGGGUACGGGCAGACUAGAGUGUGGUAGGGGAGACUGGAAUUCCUGGUGUAGCGGUGGAAUGCGCAGAUAUCAGGAGGAACACCGAUGGCGAAGGCAGGUCUCUGGGCCAUUACUGACGCUGAGGAGCGAAAGCAUGGGUAGCGAACAGG